UGGGGGAUAACGUAGGGAAACUUACGCUAAUACCGCAUACGACCUUCGGGUGAAAGCAGGGGACCUUCGGGCCUUGCGCGGAUAGAUGAGCCGAUGUCGGAUUAGCUAGUUGGCGGGGUAAAGGCCCACCAAGGCGACGAUCCGUAGCUGGUCUGAGAGGAUGAUCAGCCACACUGGAACUGAGACACGGUCCAGACUCCUACGGGAGGCAGCAGUGGGGAAUAUUGGACAAUGGGCGCAAGCCUGAUCCAGCCAUACCGCGUGGGUGAAGAAGGCCUUCGGGUUGUAAAGCCCUUUUGUUGGGAAAGAAAAGCAGCCGAUUAAUACUCGGUUGUUCUGACGGUACCCAAAGAAUAAGCACCGGCUAACUUCGUGCCAGCAGCCGCGGUAAUACGAAGGGUGCAAGCGUUACUCGGAAUUACUGGGCGUAAAGCGUGCGUAGGUGGUUGUUUAAGUCUGUUGUGAAAGCCCUGGGCUCAACCUGGGAAUUGCAGUGGAUACUGGGCGACUAGAGUGUGGUAGAGGGUAGUGGAAUUCCCGGUGUAGCAGUGAAAUGCGUA
rnacentral:rRNA from 2 species